GCCAAAUCUCCAUGUCGUUGUCGCCGUCGUCCUCGUCACAGACCCCCUCCGACCUCGAGGAAAUGUCGUCGAACGAAAGUCUCGAGGAGUGCUCUUGGUGCGACGACAACCGGGGUUUUGGCGACAUGCCUCACUUGGUAGAAGGUUAGCGCUUCAGCAUUAAGCUCCAGGAGACCUUCGAUGUUGAAACGCUUAUCCUAUGGCAUGCAAGACGCUAUGUCUUGGAGAUGAU